rnacentral:lncRNA from 1 species
AGUCUGGGUCUGAGCUGAAACCUGCUGCAAGUCUGACGGUAAGACUUUCUUUGCCGAUAUUUUGGGAAUCUAAUAUUGUUUUAGACUUCGAAAAGGGGUGUUGUUCAGGUUGCACGUUUCUAGGGGCUUUAAGCACUCGCAGGAUGGCGUCCAGGACUUAGAUCUUGAGAAUAUCUCUUCCUGCCACUCCCCACGCCCUUGGCUCUUUAAGAAUAAAAAGAGGUGGGGGAGUUAUAGUCCUCCAAUAUCGUCGGAAUAUUUUUUUGUAUUUUCAUUGUGUUUAUGGUUUCAAUAUGUGCUCUGAUAUUAAAAGUUAAAGUACAAAGAGCAACACUAAACUUCCCCAACUCAUGUAGCUUCUCUAUGGAUUCUGGGUGAAAGCAUUAAAGGCUUUAUUUAAAGUGAGAUUUAGGCAACCACCUCAAUAAACCUAACCAGAAAUAUUUACAUAAUAUAAUGCUGUCAACUAAAAGCAUUGUGGAAAAUGUCAGACAAGACAGACUAAAAUUACUCAUGAUCUGCAGACAUCAGUACAAAACAUCCACAACGGUCCUUUUGGUUUGCAUUACAUUGGUUUAGAGGAAGCUAAGCAAUUACUAAAUGAAUGGAUUUGAAUUUAACCAGUGUGUUGCAGGUAACCAGCAACAAGCACACACAAACCUUUCAUCUCCCGAGGCUGCCACUUCUUCUUAAACCUGCCCAGUGACUGUGCUGGAUUUUUUCUCACUCACUGUGUCAGAUGUUAACAACCUGUCCA